rnacentral:rRNA from 1 species
UACGAAGGGGGCUAGCGUUGUUCGGAAUUACUGGGCGUAAAGCGCGCGUAGGCGGGUAUUUAAGUCAGGGGUGAAAUCCCAGAGCUCAACUCUGGAACUGCCUUUGAUACUGGGUACCUAGAGUCCGGAAGAGGUGAGUGGAAUUGCGAGUGUAGAGGUGAAAUUCGUAGAUAUUCGCAGGAACACCAGUGGCGAAGGCGGCUCACUGGUCCGGUACUGACGCUGAGGUG